ensembl:lncRNA
UUUUUGCUUGCAUAGCUGGAGAUUUUAAUCAUAAUUACAGAAAAGGCGUGUUUUGGUUGUCCGAGCGGUAAAAAGUUGUAGAACAAUGGCGUCCACUCGAAGGUGAUUUUAGAGACGUGUAGUCGGGAUUCUGGAACCCGGCGUUCUCUCUCGGGUUUGAUUGGCAUGAUUGACUGGUGGAUUAACCAAUCAAAGAAACGUAUGAUUUCUUCGUGCACUGAUCACAGGCUCGGAGACAUAUAAUCUUCAGAUAAAACAUGAAGACUCAGAGAAAAUCUGGCAGUGUCUUGCCGCCGACAGGCCAUGUGCCUUAGUUUGCUGAGAACUGAGCAAUCUAAACAGAUCAUUGGUGGAGGUCUCCUCAGGUACGCAUUGUGGGGGGUCCAGCCCAGAGCAAGAGUGAAAAGUUGGGGAUUGGUCAAAUGUCAUGUGAUGACCGCAGUGAAAAACACAGAGGAAAACGAGAAUCUUCCCUGAUGGGAACAAGAUCAGGUCAGGAGGAGGAGCAAGGGCUCUCCCCCUCUGGGAAUGGCUCCUUGCCGAAGGGUAAAUAAACAAUACACAUAAGAAGCUGCCCCUAGAUAUGUGCAAAGGUGUUUAUCCACAAGCAUAUGCAUUUGUCCUGAACCUGUGGUCAGGUUUCUAAGUUCAUCUCUGGUUCUCUGCUCACUCGUGGUUUUCUAUAUGAUGACAUUCUAAUCUAUACAUUGACAAUGAGCAUCCCAGGCUGGGUUACACCAUUUAAUGUACUAUACUGGGAAACAGUAUCCUGAAGUGUUCUUUUCAAAUGUGAAUAUGUUGACUUGCAUUGUAUUCAUGCUGUGAAUGAUUUGACCUUCUGCAGGUUUGUAUAAAAAAAUAAAACACAUUUGAGAUAAAUGACCUCUCUGGAGUACUUAACCCCUUCACUUUACACCUCUCAGCAAGGGUGAGCGAUAUGGCAAGAUCCUGAAUCAUUAUUAAGAUUUUAUAAUUUUUCAUGCGCACUUAGAUCUUUGAAUUGCCUUUAUGAGGUAACUACAGCCAUCUGCUGCUUCUGAAAGUUCACACUUUACUAGAUGGAUUAAAUCAGCUUGUCACUCGUUUUUGUAGGCUAACCACCAAGAGGAGGUUAGCCACUCAAACAUUUAAUUCUGUAACUCAUACUCAAUUUGUGUUGAUACUUGUGUUUACAAGUAAUUUUGUAUUACUGUGAACCUGUUUACACCAUAUCAUUGCUGAUAGAACCAAUGUCACCAACCCCUAAGUUUAAGUUGUUUAUGAAUUAUAGGAACUGAGAGAAAUGAAUAAGCAAAAGCUAAUCACAAUGUUUCCACUGGUCACUAUUAAACAUAAUAGAAUGAGGGCAGGCGAGAGAUGGACUGGUGGACGGAAUGGAGUGGAAUGACUGCAAGGGGACAAAUAAUAAUGAUGUGUAGUGUUGAUGAUAAUGACAAAUGUUAUACUUAAAUAAUAACUAAAUCAUGGUCAAUUAAUAGAAUGGUGACUGGUGUUUAUAAGUAAUGAUUGGAUAUGGUUACUAUGUGGAUGGGAAAGAGGAAAAAGUACAAAAUAAAAUAAAAUGAAAAUGAAUGUUAUAUUUACUGGUAAACUGUAUACAUUUCUAUUUUCGUGCUAUGUCUUCUUACUUUGGAAGUCUUGUAAGUCUCUUGUGAUUUUCUUCUUGUAACACAUGAAUGCUUUUCUUUAUCAAUGCUGCUAUAUGUAAGCUUAUUGCAGACAAUUGUAAUUGUUGAAAGGACAUAAUUAUGAUUCAUAGAUGGGCACACCCACAGGGCUGUGUGUGUGCCUAUGUAUGGAAAUGAAACUUGUCAUUCACUAAUUGCUUGUACUUAAACAGGUACAUGCACGCUUCUGAUGUGCAUGUGCCUGGAUAACUCUGGAAUUUGUAAUGUAAAGUGUUACAUUGUAUGAAAUCACGAGAUACUGCUUGUAUCACUGUUAUUAUUUCUGUUAUUAUUUACCUGCAGCUGGACACAUGCUUUUCAGUUAUGUACUGUAUAUUCUCAGUGUUAUAAUGGGCCUUUUCUUUUGAAAGGACUGAAAUUAUGUUUUGAAUUUUUUAGAAUUAAUCUGAAAUGCAUGUAAGUACUUACUGAAUAGGGGUAGGCAUUUAUAAGCUUUCUUGCUUCGGCCUACUCCUUUUGAGUUUUAUUUUAUUGCAAUGAUGAUGUAAUCAUGCAAUUUAUGUUUUUUAUAAUGUGCUCAAAUAAAUAAAAUAAAUAAAAGGUGCUAUAUAGCUUUAAUUCUAAACAACCAAUAGAAGCUCUCAAAAACAAAAAUAAAACAACAGGAACAUCAAGUGACACAUAGCCGGAACUGUCAGG